GUGCAAGUAAGUAGGCUGAGAAGAAUUCCUGCUUGGAGCUUCCAUUUGCUCUUCAGAGCCAAUUCCUGCUGUGUUGGACUAACUCAUUAGCUGAGAUCAUCUCAUGAGAUCAUGAGCUAAUGAGCUAAGCCCUGCACUGCCAGGCUUUGCUCAAUGGACAGACAGAGAGAGCUUCCAGCUCUCACAGAGGAGCAGGGCAUGGGCUGCAGCUCCAG